GAUGAAGAACGUAGCGAAAUGCGAUACUUGGUGUGAAUUGCAGAAUCCCGUGAACCAUCGAGUCUUUGAACGCAAGUUGCGCCCGAAGCCAUUAGGCCGAGGGCACGCCUGCCUGGGCGUCACACGUCGUUGCCCCCCCUUCUACUCCUUCGGGAUUGCGGGGGGCGGAUGAUGGCCUCCCGUGCGCCUCGUCGCGCGGUUGGCAUAAAUGCCAAGUCCUCGGCGACGCACGCCACGACAAUCGGUGGUUGCGAAACCUCGGUUGCCCGUCGUGUGCGGUCGUCGCGCAUCGAGGGCUCGAAAAAAUUGCCGGGCUCCGGCUCGGCUUUCAACGCGACCCCAGGUCAGGCGGGGUUACCCGCUGAAUUUAAGCAUAUCAAUAAGCGGAGGA
rnacentral:misc_RNA from 1 species